CUCUUGAGAGCGGCGGACGGGUGAGUAAUGCCUAGGAAUCUGCCUGGUAGUGGGGGAUAACGUUCGGAAACGGACGCUAAUACCGCAUACGUCCUACGGGAGAAAGCAGGGGACCUUCGGGCCUUGCGCUAUCAGAUGAGCCUAGGUCGGAUUAGCUAGUUGGUGAGGUAAUGGCUCACCAAGGCUACGAUCCGUAACUGGUCUGAGAGGAUGAUCAGUCACACUGGAACUGAGACACGGUCCAGACUCCUACGGGAGGCAGCAGUGGGGAAUAUUGGACAAUGGGUUUUAGCCUGAUCCAGCCAUGCCGCGUGUGUGAAGAAGGUCUUCGGAUUGUAAAGCACUUUAAGUUGGGAGGAAGGGCAUUAACCUAAUACGUUAGUGUUUUGACGUUACCGACAGAAUAAGCACCGGCUAACUCUGUGCCAGCAGCCGCGGUAAUACAGAGGGUGCAAGCGUUAAUCGGAAUUACUGGGCGUAAAGCGCGCGUAGGUGGUUUGUUAAGUUGGAUGUGAAAUCCCCGGGCUCAACCUGGGAACUGCAUUCAAAACUGACUGACUAGAGUAUGGUAGAGGGUGGUGGAAUUUCCUGUGUAGCGGUGAAAUGCGUAGAUAUAGGAAGGAACACCAGUGGCGAAGGCGACCACCUGGACUAAUACUGACACUGAGGUGCGAAAGCGUGGGGAG
rnacentral:rRNA from 1 species